rnacentral:lncRNA from 1 species
UUUCCAGGUUUUAAUUAAAAUCAUAGGUGUUAAGAAGCAAGAGUGUCUUCGUGGAAUACAAGUCUAAUGAAGUAUUUCCUCACAUAGCAGAAAUCUCUGUGUGCAGUCCCAGAUCCCUGGCACCAGGUGCCCAAAACACCAACCCCCUGGAACCAGGAAUUCGCUUCUUGAGAAUUUGAAAAACAGAUUAUCCUGCAAUUUGUUUCAAAUAAAUGUAGGUGCCAAGAUGGAGCUGGAAAAAUAAUACUAAGUAGGAAAAAGAAACCCCAACAACCUAGCACAGCCAUAAAACUUGAUCGCUUAAUUGACUAACUGGAGGCAAUUGUGACUUCACUACAUGCCAGUGAGAAGGGGCUGCAUGGCAAAAAGGAGAGGACUCCAUGUGGGGCCGUGUAUGAAAGCACAGAAGAGGAAAAGCAAUGGGAAGGAAGCAGCAAAGUGAGAAAAGGCAGCACAGAAGGUUGGAGCAAGGGCAAUUAGGGACAGUGGGAAGGCAGGUAAAAAUGCAAACACAUGAAAAUUUGCAAGACCAGAUCUAACUGACCUGUUCCCUUUGUCUCCCACGGGACCAAAGGAAAAAGCAGGAAAGGAACCAGCAUGGAGUGACAUACAUGUGUAGACACAGGUGAGGGGACUGAUCUUUGGCAGGUGUAAAGCUGGCUGGAGGUCAAGGCUGAUGGCCAAACACCAGUUACUGCAAAAUGAAGCCCAGCAGAAGCAAUUUUCCUUCACCAUCAUUCUCCAGGGGAAAAAAAAGGUCCAGUCUGCAAACUCCAGGACUGCUUUCUAUCCUACUGCAUAAUGGUGCCUGCCUCGUCAUAGGAGGCACACACAAAGAAGGGAGGGACACUGAAAGACAAAGCCAGUGUGAAAGUAUCAAAGCAGUGUAGAGAGUGAGGGUUCUUAAUGGGGAGAGGGUGACUUUGCCUGCAAGUCCACCUCAAAGAAGAAUGAUGGCAUCAUUGACAUCUCUCAAACAGCUGAACAGCAGUCUUUUAUGGAUUUGUUUUCAUUUUAAAUGCUUCCAUCUCAGUCUAGGGGAGCUAGAGACGGCCUUCACGCAGAGUAGUGUGGGUGUGUGGUCCCAGGCUCCAGUCAGGACUCUGGAAGUUUUCACCAGCCACACUUUGGUCUGAAUCUUAUUUCUAGAAGAUUGCAUCAUACUGUAGUCAGUAGGUUGCUUGUCCCACAUUCCUUCCAGCUUCAGACAAGUCCACUUGCCUAACAGUUUCCUGUGAUACUUCUAUGACGCUUGAUUAAUUCUGUAUCAUGGUGAGAUUAAAAAGACAAAAAGCCUUUUCCCCCCACUACUGUUCCUUUUCUUUUGUACUUGUCACCUUGGGAGACAACAGAAACAUAGAAACACAUUGGCCAGAAAAAUAUGACUCACAAUUGAGGGAGCUGCAGAAGUUGUGUCCUUGGCCUUACAUUCUGGGUUCACUGUGUGAGGCAGGAGCAAUGGAAAAGACAAGCACUAUUUCCUCAUGAAACACUGCUCAAGACCUGAACAUGCUUCUCUCAAACCCAGAUCUAGUCAAUGGAGCACAUCUAAUCACCAAAGACAUGUCUUGCUUUUGAUUCCUGUGAUUCUAGAGGCAGCAACAAUCAUAGCUGGAAAAUCACAGGAUGCUGCAGAUGGGACCUCAAAUAAACGGAAGGACUCUUGCCAGCCUCAGGUGAAGUUGCAAGCAAGUGCCUUCUCUAUUUGGAGGGAAGAAGUUCACUGAAUGUCUCCCCAUCAAUAACUGUACUGUGAGGUACAAUGCCUUUGGCUAAAAGAACCCUCUUGGCUCACCUGAACCCAUGGGUAUAGGUGCUUGGAAAGUGAGGGAAACAGAGGUUUUGCUGUGUUUGAGAGGUAAAUGUGCUUUCUGACCCUUGCAGACCUUGUAGCUGUAUACAGUGCUGAUGAGGCCAAAAAAGGGAUCUGAAAGCACCACUGACCUUUGCAAAUUGAUUCCUAGUUACUGGCCUAGUAUAGGCAACUUACAGUUUUAUUGGGCUACUCCUUUGGUCAAGGUCUGCUUGAUUUGUAUUAAUUUUAUCCUGAUAAAAAAGGGGAGCUUUUAGCAUCAUUUAAAAGUGCAACACUGCAGAAUCACAUGGAAAUGACCUUGCAGAUCUAGGGGUUAUAAAUCAGCCAAUGGAAAGGAAUGUUAUGCAGUACUAAGAGAAACAGGACAAAAAUGUGCACUUAGAUACUCUUGACUAAUGGUUUGUAUUUUAUAGCACCUUCCUUUAGAAGAUCUCAAAGAGCUUCACAGUAAACAGAAAAAAGAAACAGGAAAAAAACAUACUUUGAAUGUCUUAUCCUGCAUUCACAAGCCCUACUCCCAGAUGGUUACACCAGUUGAUACCAUCUGGAGACCAGAACUGUCAUUUCCCUGUGCCCAAAGCUGAGGUAAAGCACAAAGAAAUGAAAAAAUCUCUGUCUAUAACAUCAGGCCCUUGAAGUGAUACAAGGAUCUGGCUUUGUACAGACCCACUGGGGAAAACAGUGGAGAGCCAGUCUUCACUGCCUCAGUAUAAAUCUCAUAUCCUACUUUAAGUUUUUCUCUGGGAUAGUGUCAUCAGCAUGAUGAAGAACAGGCACUAAGAAAGAACUUCUGAACUUGGUCUGUUCCUAUUACAAACAAGCUCUUACUAUGCAUCUAACUAGCAGAUAAAUAUUCUACCCCAGUCAUUGCUGUCAUACCUGAGCACCCAUUGAAGCUGUCCUUACUCCCUUCAGGUUAGUGACAGAUAAGCAGCAAUACUGUAAGACCAAGGUCAACUUUAGAAUCAUAAAAGCUCAAAGAAAAUUCACAGUUCUUGCAGGCUGGUCCUGAAACAGAUGCCAGCAAGUGACUCAGCCAAGAUCACAGCUGCAAGAAAGUUGCAGUGCUGGGGACUGCCCUUCAUCCCCUGAGAAUUAAACACUAAACUCCAAAUAAGCUGCUAAUACUGACACCACAGCAGUUUAUCUCCAGACAGUGACUAAUUUGACAAUGCUUUUCAUACCUAAGAGUAGUGAUCUCCCCAAUAAUAUGAUAUGUCUGACUGACACAUUCUGGUUUUAAUAGCCAUGGACUCCCCCUUCUAGACAAAGCUAUGGAAAGACAAAUGUACAUAUCUUGGUUUUUUUUCCAGUGCUACGUUAGGGAAGAAAGAAAAGGAACAAACAAAGAUGUUUGAUUUUGACAGUAUCUAUCCUGGCAUCUCAUGCUACUACUAGGGAGAGCUAAUGGAGAGUGAUCACAAUGCCAAAGGAACUUGAGCAGACAGAAAGAGCUGUUAAGGAAUCAGAAGAAGUUGCAAAUGCAUCUAGACAAGUGAUUAGGAAUCUCACCUCCUACCUACCAGCAGUCAGUGGCUGUGUUCCUCCUACUGCACUCAAGCAGGGACAGGGCAGACCCUGCCUGAGCUUGAGAUGCCCCAGCUGUCUGAGGAACCUGAGUUUUCCAAGCAAAGCUGCAUUUGGAUUUUGCGUGCACCAGUUUUGGCUCAGGGAGCCAUCCUCAGAUUCCCUCCAAAUUCUGGCUAAACAGAAAUGCCUAAAAAGACAAAAACCAGGCUGUGGUAUUUUCAUAAAUAGCUCUCUCUUUGUGGGUGUGUACAUGUAAAAAAAGUAAGAAGGACAGCCCCAAAAGGGAAGCCUAGUAUUAAAGGCUCCAAGAAUACUUUUUUUUCUGAUUUUUCUAUUUCACAGUUGGUUGAUUUCAAGCAUUCUAAUGGCUGCUUCCUACCUCAGUGCCCAUCUGUCUAUUUUAAUAAAUGUUCUUGGUAGCACCUACCUGGCAAACAUCCGAACACCCAGCAGCACAACCAAAUUUCACCUUAAAUCAGGGGGUUGGAACAGCAAGCUAUAUGGAAAUGAUGCAAUCAUCCUUCUCCCACAACAUGGGCACUGGCAGUAGCAGACAGACAGAUGGGCAAAACAAACAGACAAGAAAAUGUGAUGGGCCUGGCCCCAUCUCUCUUUCCAUUUUCUUCUGGUAAAAGUCUGGGUGAGCAAAGGACAGGUUGCUAUAGGACUUGGGUACCCUGUGCAGCCACAGAGGUCUGCUGGGUGGCAGUCAGAAAAGAUUCCUUAGCUACCUUGGAGAUGCUGAGAUAACUGAUGCACUGAAGGCACCACGGGACACUAUACUUACCCCCUUUAGGACCCAUUCCUUGUCUUUGAUCUGCCUCUGUGUCUCUCUGGAUCUCAUCAGUGGUGAUGGAAAUUAACCUUUGCUCCAUUCUCUGGGCAUUCAACCGUUCCCUUUCAUUUGUGAAAGGGUUUCCCACCCUUCCUUGAACACUCUCCAUCCCACAUGCACAUUCAAUACCAGGUAAAUAUUUAUCCUGCUAGAAGAGCUGCCUCCAUUCAUGACCAGCUUUCCUGCCCCUUUCCCUUCACUGUCCACCUCAAAAGGCAGCAUCCCCACGUCUUUGCUCUUAAAGUGGUGGCAGGAGCAGCACACAUGAAUGCUGAUAUUCUGUUACUGCCUAAAGGACAUGAGCACAUGGUUACGUUUUGGCAUUUCACCUUCAUCAAUACUAAAAUUUAGCAAGAAAUGUGUACAAUGAAGGCUUAUGUCUUAGGCCUUUUUCUUAUUAAUCCUAUUACACUUGUCUUUAUGAGCUCUCCAAGUUCCUUUUACUCCCUCCGGGGCUUGGCUGAAAAUGAGAUUUUGCAUCUCAGUGUAAAAUAACCAGAACAUUUUUCUAUAAAAUUAAAUAAAAAUCCUCCGUCCUGGCAGUACAUGCCCAGAAUCCAGUUUCUGGAGUCUUCAUCUUUCCAAGUCCUUCAUUGUCUUCUCAACUUCCUUUAGCUUUGGGAACAGGCUUUCAUUAUAUCCUGAUGAAUAUUGAGAAGAAAAUUAAGGAGCAAACUUUAAACAACUCAGAUGAACAAGAGGGAGAAAAAGUGUGAGUGAGUUGCAGAAGUCUCUGACUUUUAGCAAAGUUCCACUUCUUAUAUAUGCCUCAGUUUUCUAAUGCAUAAAAUUAUAACAGUGAUAGUCCUAGCCUGCAAUGAAGGUGGAUGUUCAAGACUACAAUAUUCAGCUCAUGGAUCUUCAAGACUAUAAUGAGAUUCUGUUAUAACUGAUAGUAUCAAUAGUUUAUUACUGCAGUUACACAACUUUUAGGUAAAUAUUUUGAUUUCUGAACUUACCUGAAUCUUCUUUGCUUUGAAAAACAGGGAUAUGUACCAAUUCCAAAAUUCCUAAUCAAUUAAAUAACUCUCCUGUUUUGUUUUUUUGUUUUUAAUAUAUUGUUUUGAAGAACCAAAUUCUGGUGUCAGAUUUGCAUAUAUAUUCAAUAAGGAAGCUAUGCCUGCUCCUAAAAAUCUUACCAUAAUGACAAGAAAAAGCAAAAUGGAAAGUGUAUUAGAACUCUUAAUACCAUCUAGAGUUAGUAAGGCAGAGUGGAAUGACCAGAAAUGAAAAAUAAUGGCUGAAGAAAAUUAAUAGCAUCCCUUCCCUGAGCUCCAACUUCUUUGAAUUUAAUCUUCCAGAGAAAAGUAAGUAAUGUGUGGAAAGUAAUUCCCAACAUAUUAAGGGAGUGGGAUUUUUACUGUACCAUGUUUGAACUGGUUUGGUGCAGUAACAUUAUCAUUUACCUUUGAUCUGUAAAAUCUGGAUAUGUAUUUACAAUUCACCAGUACUACUCAUAAUUUAAGGCCUUUAAUACCUGAUAUGGCAGGAGAACUUGAGCUGCAAGAAGAAAACAAAAUCAAGCACAACCUGCUAUGCCUUAAGAAAACAUUGACCUCAACCAGCUGAGCUCCUGUUCAACAUCGUCUCAGAAGCUCCACCAGCAGAUUUCCACCUGCACAAGUGUUUUUCUGCUCAGCCUCUGCAGCACACCACUCUUUACCAUAAAAGUUGACAUUUAGAUAUGAAAAAAUCAGGAAGGAAAGGGGAUGAUUUAAAAAUAAAAUGCAAUUUACACUAAUUAUGUCAUUACAUAGGAUGCUCUGCAAAAAAACAUUAGCAAGUGAGAUCAUGUCAGCAAAGCUCAAGAUGAGCUGUAUGAAAGACUUGCAAGUUCCUAAGUCAGAAAGCUGUGGCUUCCUGCUGCUUCUCAUUUCUUGCCCAAUCAAUGCUUCAUAAAGACUUUUAGGAUACAGUUAAAGUAGCUCUGCAGUCCUAAUGUCUGCAGUAUCUAAACAGGAAACCAGUGGUAACAUACCGAUGUGUGUAGCAACCUGGUGCAGAAAAACACAGGAGCAUUCCUGUUACAACGCCAGCGAAAAGAUCAAGUGAGGCAGAUCUGAGUCACCUGUGGCAAAACAGCCAAACAAAAGACUUCCAAAGCCCAGCAUCAUGCCACAACCACUGACUACCCUUCAUUUCACCUCCAGAAAAUUGCUGAAAAGGAGGUGAGUUCCAGCUCACAACAUAGGGCCUGCACGUGUGCAGCUUGAUGCCUUCCUGAUCAGAUCAAGGGCUCUUUGCAAGUCCUCUCCUUUUCCCAAAACACACCCUGUACUGAACUGGAAGGCUGCAUGUCAUGUCUUGAAGCCAUCAGAGGCUACCAUUAGCAAUUAAAAAAAA